rnacentral:rRNA from 1 species
UGCAUGUGAAAGUAUAAAGUCCAAGAAGGAUGAAACUGCGAACGGCUCAUUAGAACAGUUAUAGUUUCUUCGAUUAGUAAGUACAAGGAUAGCUUUGUGAAUGAUAAAGAUAAUACUUGAGACGAUCUUGGAUGUAGAGACACAUUCAGGCCUUUGCAUCAUAAAAUGGUGUGAAGAGAAAGGAUAUCCAAACUGAAAGUGGGUAUCAUGACAAUUGUAGAAUAGCGAUAUUUAACAAGUAAUCGAUGAGAAUAUCUGAUCUAUCAACUAGUUGGUAGUAUCGAGGACUACCAAGGUUAUAACGGAUAACGAGGAAUUAGGGUUUGACAUCGGAGAGGGAGCUUUCAAGAUGGCUACCACUUCCAAGGAAGGCAGCAGCCGCGUAAAUUACCCAAUUUCAACAGAUAGAAGAGGUAGUGACGACAAAUAACUCACGACAUGCGUAAGCAUGUCUUGAAGGAAUGAGUAAGAAGCAAAGAGUCUUACGAAAUCAAUUGGAGGGCAAGUCUGGUGCCAGCAGCCGCGGUAAUUCCAGCUCC